rnacentral:rRNA from 1 species
UACGUAGGGUGCAAGCGUUGUCCGGAAUCAUUGGGCGUAAAGCGCGCGUAGGUGGCCAUUUAAGUCCGCUGUGAAAGUCAAAGGCUCAACCUUUGAAAGCCGGUGGAUACUGGAUGGCUAGAGUACGGAAGAGGCGAGUGGAAUUCCUGGUGUAGCGGUGGAAUGCGUAGAGAUCCGGAAGAACACCAGUGGCGAAGGCGGCCCGCUGGGCAGUGGCUGACGCUGAAGCGCGACAGCGUGGGGAGCAAACAGG